rnacentral:lncRNA from 1 species
UCAAAAUGGUGCCAUAUGACAAUGCCAAUAAUUCUCCAAAAGAAUCUUGUGUGUUGAUCCCUUUCAAGAUAUUGCCAGUAUAUGUAUAAGGACAUGAAAAGUUAUAACAUUCAUUUUAUCUAUGUCACACCCCCAAACCAGAACGGCGGAAACCUUCGGGGGCGGAGGACGUCAUAUUCAGUAUCAUAACAGUUCAUAGAAAGGAAAGUACACACCACCAUAUAUAUUAAAGUUUCCAAAAUGUUUACAUAAUUGUAUUCGUUACAUGUUUAAAAGUUAAAUACAUAAACAUCUUUCAAAAGAAGUAAUUAACGUCAGCGCGUUAAUCCCCAAAAGUUGAUUUCCAAAUCUGCUUAGCGGUUCCCUGAGAAUACAAGUUAUUUCAAAGAAAAAGUGUCAACAAUUAAGUUGGUGAGUUCAUGAGUAGUGUUUUGAGAAAAUGUACGCCAUUCGAAAGUUCGUGUAUGUUUUCAAGAAAACGAAGUAUUUCAAAUGUAAAGAGUUAUGAUUCGUUGUGUUGAAAAUGAAUGUAUUAGAUCCAGAAAAUCCCAUAUUUUCCCUAAUGGUUGAGAUAUGAAUUGUUGUGUUUUCCAAGAAAAAACCCUUAUUUUCUUAUAAAAGUAUGAGAUGCAUAUGGAUGUUCGUGUUAUAAGUUGUAAGUAAUUGCACCAUGAAAAUCCCUUAUUUUCCUAUUAGUUGUUUGGUUUGUAUCCAGGAAAAACCCUUAUUUUCCUAACAUAACUGGCAGUCUCCAAGACCGAAAAUCGCAAGCAACCGACGUGCUUGUAAGUUGUGUCAUAGUUUUACAUAGUAAAGCUAUACGAAGAUCGCACUUGUUAGAUGAAGAAUAGUUUUAAUAGCUACUCGUUCAUAAAAGCAUAAUACCAUAAUAAUUGUAUAUCCGGUGAGUUUUAUAACCAUACUAAACAUAAUAUGCCUGUAGCGACGUUCUUUAGGCGUCGUAGCGUUAUGACAACUGUCACCCCAAAGGACGGACUGUAGCUAACAGUCAGGGCGCGGGAUCAUGACUUCCCGUAUAGAUCUAUACACAUUUGACACGUUCUCCGAACGGGAGACUCUGGUUAUAGACAGGACUUAUAGCGAUACCUUUUAGCAAAAAGGUAGUAUUUGAAGAUGUACACGUCUCACGGAUUCUCAACUAAGUCUGUAUUAAAGUAUUAGUUUUGUAUGCAAAGUUUAUCCUUUUCACAAUGUUUGACAAAGCAUAAAUCAUAAGUUCUUUGAAUGUAUAAAACGGUUUAGUAAUGAUGGUAACCCUUGAUGCGAGGUAUUUGUAUGUAAAUGUAUAAAUAAAACAUAUUUCUAUUUAUAAGCGAGGUAUUUGUAUGUAAAUGUAUAAAUAAAACAUAUUUAUAUUUAUAAACCAUAUUGUAUCCCAAGAGGGUAAAGUUGUGUUGUGAGGUGUUUUGCAUGAUAAUAACUUCAUAAGAUAGUUAAAACAACAGUAUGAAAAGUAUAUCAAAAG